rnacentral:rRNA from 1 species
CCUACGGGAGGCAGCAGUGGGGAAUAUUGGGCAAUGGGCGCAAGCCUGACCCAGCAACGCCGCGUGAAGGAAGAAGGCCCUCGGGUUGUAAACUUCUUUUAUCAGGGACGAAGCAAGUGACGGUAACUGAUGAAUAAGUCACGGCUAACUACGUGCCAGCAGCCGCGGUAAUACGUAGGUGGCAAGCGUUAUCCGGAUUUACUGGGUGUAAAGGGCGUGUAGGCGGGAAAGCAAGUCAGAUGUGAAAACCAUGGGCUCAACCUGUGGCCUGCAUUUGAAACUGUUUUUCUUGAGUACUGGAGAGGCAGACGGAAUUCCUAGUGUAGCGGUGAAAUGCGUAGAUAUUAGGAGGAACACCAGUGGCGAAGGCGGUCUGCUGGACAGCAACUGACGCUGAGGCGCGAAAGCGUGGGGAGCAAACAGGAUUAGAUACCCCAGUAGUC